rnacentral:rRNA from 1 species
CAGUCGCCGCGGGAACACGUAGGGUGCAAGCGUUAAUCGGAAUUACUGGGCGUAAAGCGUGCGCAGGCGGUUAUAUAAGACAGAUGUGAAAUCCCCGGGCUCAACCUGGGAACUGCAUUUGUGACUGUAUAGCUAGAGUACGGCAGAGGGGGAUGGAAUUCCGCGUGUAGCAGUGAAAUGCGUAGAUAUGCGGAGGAACACCGAUGGCGAAGGCAAUCCCCUGGGCCUGUACUGACGCUCAUGCACGAAAGCGUGGGGAGCAAACAGGAUUAGAUACCCCAGUAGUCCCUGUCUCUUAUAA